UGAGUGGUGUUUGGUUUGUUACGGGUGGUUGGCUCUUUGCUUGCGCAACAACUUCCACCUGGCAUACCUCUUCAGUCUAGCCUCCAUGCUUGUAUCGCAUUGGAUGCACUGUGGGUUUCCUGUGUUGCAUACCUAACUCAAGGUAUCGUUUGGUUAAUAGAUGUCGUUUAUUCGUCUUGUGUCGCACAUGCGAUGUGAGAUGAACCUUGAAGCAGCAUUUGUGAUCCACUCUUUCGAUGCGCAUGCAUUGAUGGUGUGGCCCAUUGAGUGAUGCUUGGUCUCAUGGAUAUGGAACCUUGUGUGGGCAUGGGAUCUUGAUUCCUUGUUUGCCUUGGUUAAGCUUUUCUAAAACGAUUGUCUAUCACGUCUUGACGUGGUAGACUA
rnacentral:misc_RNA from 1 species